AUGGUCGCAGAUUUGACAGACAAUGAUAGUUGGUCCUGGAAAGCUGAUUUAGUCAGGAAUAACUUCAUACACCCAGAUGCUGAUGCAAUUCUAAAUAUCCCGCUCAGACAGGGUGGUGGUGGUGAUUUCUGGGCUUGGGCUCAUGAGCGGUUGGGUUCCUACACUGUGAAAUCCACGUAUCAUGCUCUAAUGACUCGUAACGAGCAGUUUGCUCUAGAGGAAGGGACGAUCACAGAAUCUUCAGAGAAUAAUAAACAGGUGUGGACACGACUAUGGAAGCUCAAAGUGUUGCCCAAGGUCCGUGUGUUCUGGUGGCAAGUCCUUCGAGGUAUCCUUCCGGUGGAAACAACACUACAACACAGACACAUAGCGACCUUAGCUCGCUGCAAGGUCUGUAUGGGGGCAGAUGAAGAUAUGAUUCAUGCCUUGAUUAAGUGUUCUCAUGCACAUAGCUUCUGGAUAGAGGCGAGCCGUUGGCUUCACCUCAAGCUCCCUGAGUUACACCCUAGUACGUGGUGCAAGGACAUCCUCUGUGAUUCACGUAUUGCUGACGCGGACCGGGUGAAAAUAAUCACUGUCAUGUGGCCGAUAUGGACCCGUUCGAGUCCAUGA
rnacentral:rRNA from 1 species